UUUUGUUUUGUUGUGUUGUGUUAGUGAUGAUGUUUGAAAAGCAGACAUACAUGGGAGCCACCUUAGCCGUCCUUGAAUUACAAAGAUGACAAAUGUUAAAAAGACUAAUAAUUAAUAAAAUUUCAUUUAAAAAUCAUCAAAUUUCUCUCAAAAUGAAGCAUUAAGGACCCUGGGUAUGGAUAAGUUCUCUAUAUAAUCAUUAUUAUUCUUCCAUGUGCCUCUAUUUCUUUUCUAUUGGUCGGUUCUUUCUUCUAGAAAAGAUAACCUGACAUUGUAAAUAACAUAACUAAUGGCGAAUGUUAGUUUGACCGAGAUACAAUGCACAUAUGGAUACGAUACGUAUCGUAUCAAACCCAAAUGCCCACACAAAGGAAAAGGAAAAGUAAAGACACAUUUCUUUCUCUCACAUACUCCCUGCGUAAGUAACAACUCUCUGUCGUGAAGAAUUUCCAGAAAACGUACCUUUCUCUUCUCUUUUAACCUUUUUCCUUUUUCUACUUGUACCAAAUUCAUGCUCCUUUUCACUUUCUUCUUCUUUCACCUCCUCCUACACAACAGCCAUAUAUAUAAAAAAGAAGAGAUCUUUGUCUCCCUCUUCUCAUUCCCAACAUUGGGUUCGCCCCGCAUAUGCACAAGACACCACUUAUUUAGUGAGAGCCUACCCUCCACCGCCACCGGUCCACCACCCCCCAUUCUUCCACCAAUGGUGGUGGCUAACAAUUUACUGUUAACGCCACCGCCUCUUUGUCCAACACCGUGGAGAGAAGUGCUAAGGUGCUCCCUUUCUGCAAACAAAACCCACAUCACAACAGUCUCUAGUAGUGUAUCUAUUCUGCAACUUGGGCUGCCAACAAAGUUGGAAUACAAACAAAACAAAACAAAAACCAUUUUACUAUACGCUUUUGAGCGUUUCUGUUGCAUUUUGUAUCCGACAUAUAAACAAAGAGAAUCAUUUUGUAUUUUGUCCCUAUGGAUUGCAUAAACGAGACGACUAAGACUGAGAAAGAAAGAGAAAUAAUUUCUAACUAAUAAUACAGAUAUCAGCCUGACGAUGAACAAGAUGAAGCACCUUCCCUUUCUUUUCUGCCUCCUCCUUUCACAUAAGCACAAAAUUAAGGCAGCUAAACCUAUUCAUAUCCCCUUGUACACCCCUAAGUGCACACAUGCAUUUGAGACAAUCACGUGUUCUAUGGACCACCCAUCAUGACCCUACUAGUAGUACUCAACCCAUUUCUUACAAAGGAGAGAUUGGCCCCAUAGUCCCUCUCUCAUCAUCUGAUCUCAAAGUAGAUCCGAUAUGCUUGCACCCCGACAGGCUAUAGAUUGAAGAGGAACAAAAUCUAUCAAAAUUCUUAGUGCGAGAGACAUAAGUAUGGGUAUACCUGUCAUCCGAUGGCACAGACACAGACACGGAGAAAAAGACUGCGAAGGAGGGAGGGAGGGAAAAUACGCUUACCUGCAAGCCAUCUUUACUUUAUUUCCCAAAAUGGGAAUAAGUUAACCUUAAAAAUGGGUAAAGUGAUAAAUCCCAUGGUCAUGUUUGCCUGUGGUGGGAAAAGGUGGCGUUGUGGUAGCAACUGUUUGGAAAAAGUGCAAAGAUUUGAUAAAUCUUUUCUUUCUAAUGACUUUUUUCUCUUUCAACUUGGCAUAUGUGACUGAUGGUUUCCCUUACAAAUGGAAAAUAACAGAAAAAAGAUAAUUACUGAAAAUCCACUUACCAGGUCGGCAGUCUUCAUACGGUUUCUCUUGCAACUGAAUAAUAUGUUUGACUCAGCCACCUAAAAUCUUUGCCUAUAAAUUCUGUCCUCAGCCCCUUCAUUUACUUGGCUCUCUUCUCCCUUCUUAACCUCUUCUGCUUACUACAACAGACUAACGUACCAGCCAGAAACGUAUCCCUUCUUUUCUUUCCAGAAAGGUUGUCCCAACUCAUCCUUCAUCUCGCCCUACAGCCUUUCCUGCUUCAAACUUUUCCAAACCAGAAGAAUAUGAAAUAUUAACACGCUAGCUUCUUCAAACACAAUACAAUGUUUUUCUUAAGAAGCAUAUCAAUCUUGAUCCUGAGCUGCAUAUUAGUAACAGUAAAUCCUUGUUUCCCUACCAAGCAUUCUUCUCUGAAUACACUCUCCCUAGACGGCCAUUUCGCAUUUGAUCAAGUUCACCAUGCAGCUAAAGACUUCGGCAAUCGGUAUCAGAUGUUUCCUUUGGCGGUUCUUCAUCCAAAAUCUAUUGCAGAUAUUGCGACUACCGUAAAGCAUAUUUGGCAGAUGGGCCCUCGUUCUCAACUUACGGUCGCGGCUAGAGGCCAUGGCCACUCACUUCAGGGUCAGGCACAAGCCCACCAGGGAGUUGUUGUAAACAUGGAGUCACUGCAGAGUCAUAAAAUGGAAGUUUUCACAGGGAGCCAACCAUAUGUAGACGUCUCAGGCGGAGAGUUGUGGAUAAAUAUUCUGACAGAAUCUCUGAAAUAUGGGUUGACCCCAAAAUCAUGGACAGAC
rnacentral:lncRNA from 1 species